AGAUUGAACGCUGGCGGCAUGCCUAACACAUGCAAGUCGAACGGGAGUAGCAAUACUCUAGUGGCGGACGGGUGAGGAAUACGUAGGAAUUUGCCCUUAAGUGGGGGAUAACCCGGGGAAACCCGGAUUAAUACCGCAUGACCUCGAAAGAGCAAAGUGGGGGAUCGCAAGACCUCACGCUUUUGGAGAAGCCUACGUCGGAUUAGCUAGUUGGUGAGGUAAUGGCUCACCAAGGCGACGAUCCGUAACUGGUCUGAGAGGAUGAUCAGUCACACCGGACUGAGACGACGGUCCGGACUCCGUACGGGACGGCG
rnacentral:rRNA from 1 species